UGCGUAGGCGGGCUAAUAAGUCAGUGGUGAAAUCUCUCGGCUCAACCGGGAAACCGCCAUUGAUACUGUUAGUCUUGAGUUCGGUUGAGGUAGGCGGAAUGUGUAAUGUAGCGGUGAAAUGCUUAGAUAUUACACAGAACACCAAUUGCGUAGGCAGCUUACUAGACCGACACUGACGCUGAGGCACGAAAGCGUGGGGAGCGAACAGGAUUAGAUACCCUGGUAGUCC
rnacentral:rRNA from 1 species